rnacentral:rRNA from 1 species
CCUACGGGAGGCAGCAGUGGGGAAUAUUGGACAAUGGGGGGAACCCUGAUCCAGCCAUGCCGCGUGUGUGAAGAAGGCCCUCGGGUUGUAAAGCACUUUCAGUGAGGAAGAACGCCUGGUGGUUAAUACCCAUCAGGAAAGACAUCACUCACAGAAGAAGCACCGGCUAACUCCGUGCCAGCAGCCGCGGUAAUACGGAGGGUGCGAGCGUUAAUCGGAAUUACUGGGCGUAAAGCGCGCGUAGGUGGCUUGAUAAGCCGGUUGUGAAAGCCCCGGGCUCAACCUGGGAACGGCAUCCGGAACUGUCAAGCUAGAGUGCAGGAGAGGAAGGUGGAAUUCCCGGUGUAGCGGUGAAAUGCGUAGAGAUCGGGAGGAAUACCAGUGGCGAAGGCGGCCUUCUGGACUGACACUGACACUGAGGUGCGAAAGCGUGGGUAGCAAACAGGAUUAGAUACCCUAGUAGUC